rnacentral:lncRNA from 1 species
GUCACCCCCAGAGGCCCAGCUGUAAAAUUCCUCUCUUUGUACUCUUUCUUUUUAUUUCUCAGCCAGCCAAAACGUAGGGAAAAUAGAAAGAACCUACGUUGAAAUAUUGGGGGUGGGUUCCCCUGAUAGCCUCCCCAUGGGGAGAGAGGCAAACAGCCAGGAAGAGCAAAUCCAGAAGCUUUCAGAUUGUGCUGCUGAGGGCUGUGGAGGGCUGUGCCUGGUGGUACGGUGGGGACUGGACGGGUGGGCUUGCUCUGUAGGGGUGGACCCAGGACCCGGGGCAGCAGGGGCGGUGCUCAGAGCCUGCCCAGCUUGUUGCUGGCAGUGGGAGUGGCCGAUGCAGCACUGGCUGCGGGGGGCUUGGCAGGUCUGGAAAGAGAAAGGUGCCCACUUGGCUGGGGGUUGAGAGGAGGCUCCGGUCCGCUCCAGCCAAGGUGUGGACCUGGAGCUCUCGCCAGAGCUAGAAAAGGUGAUCUCCAUGGGUAUUGGAGCAAGGACGUCAGGGCCACCCAGACAUGUGGGGGAGCCAUGGGUAGAGAGUGAGCUUCCUGGGGAGUGGGAAGCCCAGCCAGGAAAGGCAGCCUCAAGCUUUGGGAAACAUCAGAAUGGCAACCUUAUGCCAUGGAGUGGCCUCUGAGCCACAGAGAAAGCGGAGGAGAGUAGAGAUACAGGCAUUUAGGGAGAAGAGGGAUCUUUUUGUUUCUGCCUCCAAAGAAAAGAAAAAGAAAAAUGAAAGAAGAACAACAAGAAAUAGAGCAGAAAAGAAUUCAAGCAUGGAUGGGUUUGGGUGGGGCUGGGAAAUGGAGGGCUCCAAGCAGUAGAGCAGAGGGUCCAGCACAGGGAGGUGAGGUAGGAGGGGCUGGAAAGAAAGCCCAGAUGGGCCCAGCCUGAAUCACUAUGGCAGGGGUCCUCAGGGGUUACCCAGGAAACUACCACAAAUCUCGAGUCGCCAUCAGUAGUGGUGACGGGGGAGUGGGUGGAAAAGCCGGAGAAGCCACCAGCUGGUGAAAAGGCCCUGGGUCCCCCCGCCACCUUCCAAAUUUCACCUUACUCCUCCUGUUGCCAACCUCACUGGAGCCAUCUAGGGGACAGGGCCUGGGGGUCCUUCCUGGCUUCUCCCCCUCAAUGCAGGAAAGAACUUGAAAUUGGGGAAAUGUGGAGUGGACAUUGGACCGCCCAUCCAGCCCGAAAGACACAGGAGAAUGAAGACAGUCCCUGAAGCAGAGAAUGCCACCUGCCUGGGGGUCAGCAGGGCACGCUUUGCUCCGGAAACACCUUCUUGACCAACACCAUGCCCUGAGAGAUGCCAGAAUGGGGUCCUGUUCACAGACCUUCCACUGUGCCCCAGCCUCACGCUGGGCACCGAGGGAGGUGGGAGCUGGCAGCAGCCUGGGCAGAGGGACCCACUGCGGAGAUGUGGGGGAACAGGCCUCACCCAGAAAUGGCCACCGGAUGAAGCAGGAGCGUGUGGGGGCCACAGAACAAGAAGUCCAUCCCUGUUCCUUAAUUGAGCCACCCACGUUAGCGUGACCCAUGCUCAGGCUGGUGCUCUUGCCUGGACCCAUCAUGGUGGUUUUCCCAAGCACACCCAUGGCUGCUGUCCUGUGGGUCAAAGGCAUGGCUGGGCCAGUGGGAAACAUGGAUUAAACACAUUGAGCAUUUCACUGCAGUCCUUCCUAGAGUCUCCUGGGCACUGGUGGGCAUUGACAACUUCUAAAAAGGGACAAGUGUAGUUUCAGGGCCUCAGAGGGCAGAACCUGGCUGGAAGCCAGCUGGGCCGGUGGGCAGAGCAGAGCUGCUGUCUCCCAGUGUGGAAGGAGAGUGAGUGUGUCAGGAUUGCCUGGCUCUGGGGCACUUCCUGGGUUGGAGUUUCAGCUUUCAGGAGCCCCAAAUGAGCCCCUCAUUUCAAGGCCGCCAGGGGCAAGCUUUCUGCCUCUCAGGACAAAACUGACAAGGAAUUGGCCACGUCCUGCCUGUUCAACCAUGUGUGAGUGACGAGGGCUUGUGCAGACACACAUCUGCUCCCUGGACUGCCAUGAUGGAGGCAGAGGAGCAUCUGCAUCUGCAGGAGCUCUGCCAGUGGCCCCCAGCACCCCUCGAGCUGGGGGGAAAUGGAGUCCGGCUCCACGGCUGCUAUCCUGGGAUGCAGUGGCCAGGCCUGCUGGGAUCCUAUGAAGAGGCAAGCGGAGAAGCCAGAUCCCCCUGUGUUCUGUCCCCGUGGGGGCUAACGGCCACACUGCCCCAAAGUUGCAUCUGGGACUCUUCGGAAUAGGAGUGGUUUGCAUGAGAAAUUUGAGGAUGCAAACUCAAUUCAUCAUUAUUUAUGAACCAGCACAGAGGAGUUUAUUACUCUGAUCACUCACUAAUCAUUCCUUAUAAAUGCGGGGACCAACAAAAUCCCACAGAAUCAAUAAAGUGGUAACUUCCCG